AGUUCUUGUAGUUGAGAUAGAACAACGACGGCUUUUCAGGUCGUAGGUCUUGGAAAAAAGCCAAGCAAGAAUU
rnacentral:tRNA from 1 species